GACGAGGUGGCUGAGUGGUUAAGGCGAUGGACUGCUAAUCCAUUGUGCUCUGCACGCGUGGGUUCGAAUCCCACCCUCGUCG
rnacentral:tRNA from 2 species